rnacentral:rRNA from 1 species
GAUGAACGCUGGCGGCGUGCCUAAUACAUGCCAGUCGAGCGAACAGACGCGGAGCUUGCUCCACUGACGUUAGCGGCGGACGGGUGAGUAAAACGUGGAUAACCUACCUAUAAGACUGGGAUAACUUCGUGAAACCGGAGCUAAUACCGGAUAAUAUAUUGAACCGCAUGGUUCAAUAGUGAAAGACGGUUUUGCUGUCACUUAUAGAUGGAUCCGCGCCGCAUUAGCUAGUUGGUAAGGUAACGGCUUACCAAGGCAACAAUGCGUAGCCGACCUGAGAGGGUGAUCGGCGACACUGGAAGUGAGACGCGGUACAGACUCCUACGGGAGGCAGCAGUAGGGAAGCUUGCGCGAUGGGCGAAAGCUUGACGGAGCAACGCCGCGUGAGUGAUGAAGGUCUUCGGAUCGUAAAACUCUGUUAUGAGGGAAGAACAAAUGUGUAAGGAACGAUGCACGUCUUGACGGUACCUAAUCAGAAAGCCACGGCUAACUACGUG